rnacentral:rRNA from 1 species
UGGACGAGAUAAACGCUGAAGGCAUCUAAGCGUGAAACUUCCCCUAAGAUAAGAUCUCCCAUCCGAAAGGAGUAAGGGACGACGUAGACUAUGUCGUUGAUAGGCCGGAGGUGUAAGCACGGUAACGUGUUCAGCUGACCGGUACUAAUAACCCGAGGGCUUGACCUA